AUGGGGCGAACCACAGUUAACCCUAUUUGGAGUAAGAUAUGAAAGUUAUCUUGCCCGGCAAAAGUGAAAUUUUUUAUAUGGCGUACGCUUCAUGGAACUCUCCCAUGCCGGGUUACGCUUGCUAAUAGACAUAUGAAGGUUUCGCCCACUUGCCCCACUUGCUCAGAGGGCUUAGAAGAUACAUAACAUAUGUUUUUCCAUUGUAGGAAAGCAAAGGAGGUUUGGAAAAGGCUAGGGAUAAUUGAUAUUAUCGAUAAAGCGUGCGAGGUAGACCAUGCUGGAGAGGCGGUGUUGGAGUACUUACUACUUCUCCCGGACCAAGAAUUGAUGAUGAUAGGUCACCACAAUGUGCGUGAGAUGAUUGUUGUGUCAACAUGGUAUUUAUGGUGGAAAAGACGGAAGUUAGUGCAUAAGGAGACAACCCAAAAUGCCUUGCAGAUUUCAAUGGGUGUUUUAACACUUACCACAAACUUUGUUAAUGCUUCAUCGUCCAAGGCUACCAUUAAGAAGGAAGGAUGGUUGUGUCCCCCUAGAGGUUUCGUGAAACUUAAUGUUGAUGCUUCUUUUGAUCAUGAUAUGCUUAGGGGAACGAUGGGGGCGGUCCUGAGAGACAACAAAGGCAGGUUUAUUGCUGGAGCGAAUGGGAAGAUUGAUUACUGCGCAGAUGUGCUGAUGGCGGAAGCUCUUGCUCUCAAGUUUGGUUUAACUCUGGCGCAAAGGGCGGGAUGUAAUAUUAUUAACUCAGUUAACCUAGAGGUAAUUUAUACUAUGCAGGAUGGAGGACAAUUAGCGGGCGCGGCAGCAGCAAUCUUCGACGAUUGUUUUCAUUACGCUUGUGAUUUUAGUAUUACUAGAUUCGAACAUUGUAAUAGAGAAGCAAAUAAAGUAGCUCAUCAGCUUGCUAAAUUAGCUAGAUUUUCUUUGACUUCUGUCUAG
rnacentral:rRNA from 1 species